UCUUGUGGAAAGCCUGGGAGUUGGGUCUGGGAGGACUCCAGGGGAGAAGCUUGCAAGUCAGGGCUUUGUCCCAGAGAGGCUGAGUCUGUGAAGGGGGAGAAGGCUCCAGGGAAGUAACCUGGCAACUGGGCCUCCAUCCUGGAGACUUAAAGCAUUUAUCCUCUGAAGGAUCCAUGAGAAAGACUUGUCCAUGCCCAUUUGUCCUGCCUUCCAGGAAAAGGCAAUGAAUGCAUAAAUGAUGUUACUCUACAUGCUGGCACUGAACAAACAUGAUAAACUGCUUCUCAAGGUGGAAGCAUUUUGGAUCGCCAUCUCCAGAGCUCUUUUGGGUUUUGGAGUCAUCCAAUCCAGGAGCAGAAACAACACUAUAUGACUUAGGUGGACCAUUACAGUGCGUCAAGUAAAUUGCAUCGCAAACAGGAACAAGAGGGUGGUCUCCUACAAGCCCUGAAACUACGGUACAUCAACUGAAGUCACCAUGUGAUUGAACCCAGCACAAGAAGCUGCAGAGAAUCCUAAACACAACUGAUGCCUGGCCCAGCCAUGUGGAAAGGACUCUUCCCUAGCCCAGGGUUAACAGGAUAAGAAAGAAUAGUGAGAUUUCAUUUCACAGAUUGUAUUUCCUCUUCUAUUCUUUAAUAUAAAUAACUACAGGUUAUCUUGCUGAGUCUACACUCUCUUGAGGAACCUUAAGUAUAACUAUAUUUUAGAUUUUAACUCCUUUAUAAGUCCAAACAAAUUGGCCUAAGAAAGACUGAAAACAAUAACUUUAAGCAAUUGCUUUAAAUAAUCUAAACUAGUCCCUUUUGAACCAAUCUAGUCAAGGAGAAGUAACCACACUCCAAAGUGUACCCUUGGAAGUGUGACAAAUAUGUUAGGUACUAAAGAAUUGAUAAUUGAUUAUCAUAAGUAAAAGUAAUAAAUCUUGGUAAUUUGCAAUUGUUCCUUGGUAUAACUCCUGAGCCUCAAUGCUAGUCU